rnacentral:rRNA from 1 species
GACGAACCGUCCAAACGUUAUUCGGAAUCACUGGGCUUAAAGGGUGCGUAGGCGGCGCGGAAAGUUGGGUGUGAAAUCCCUCGGCUCAACCGAGGAACUGCGCCCAAAACUACCGUGCUCGAGGGAGAUAGUGGUGAGCGGAACUUAGGGUGGAGCAGUGAAAUGCGUAGAUAUCGUAAGGAAGACCAGUGGCGAAGGCGGGUCUCUGGACAGUUCCUGACGCUGAGGCACGAAGGUCAGGGGAGCAAACGGG